AUGUACCCCGUGUACUCCGGCUCUGAGCGCCAUCCACGCCGCCUAGCGGCUGCUCGCGACGUUUUGUUAGCG
rnacentral:sRNA from 4 species